UACGUAGGGUGCGAGCGUUGUCCGGAAUUAUUGGGCGUAAAGAGCUCGUAGGCGGUGUGUCACGUCGGCCGUGAAAACCUGCAGCUUAACUGUGGGCGUGCGGUCGGUACGUCGAUCACUGGAGUUCGGCAGGGGAGACUGGAAUUCCUGGUGUAGCGGUGAAAUGCGCAGAUAUCAGGAGGAACACCGGUGGCGAAGGCGGAUCUCUGGGCCUGUCCUGACGCUCAGGCGCGAAAGCUAGGGGAGCAAACAGG
rnacentral:rRNA from 1 species